rnacentral:piRNA from 1 species
UAACUGAACCAUCUUGUUAGUUGCUG